GGGGUUGUGGCUCAGAGGUAGAGUGCUCACCUAGCACAUGUGAGGCCCUGGGUUCAAUCCUCAGCACCACA
rnacentral:tRNA from 1 species